rnacentral:rRNA from 1 species
AGCAGCCGCGGUAAUUCCAGCUCCAAUAGCGUAUAUUAAAGUUGUUGCAGUUAAAAAGCUCGUAGUUGAAUUUCGGGGUUAGUAGGUUGGUCAUGCCUCUGGUAUGUACUGGUCUCACUGAUUCCUCCUUCCUGAUGAGCCGUAAUGCCAUUAAUUUGGUGUUGCGGGGAAUUUGGACUGUUACUUUGAAAAAUUAGAGUGUUUAAAGCAAGCUAACGCUUGAAUACAUUAGCAUGGAAUAAUGAAAUAGGACGUUCGAUCCUAUUUUGUUGGUUUCUAGGAUUGACGUAAUGAUUAAUAGGGAUAGUUGGGGGCAUUAGUAUUCAAUUGUCAGAGGUGAAAUUCUUGGAUUUAUUGAAGACUAACUACUGCGAAAGCAUUUGCCAAGGAUGUUUUCAUUAAUCAAGAACGAAGUUAGGGGAUCGAAGACGAUCAGAUACCGUCGUAGUCUUAACCAUAACUAUGCCGACUAGGGAUCGGAUGAUGUUAAUUUUUAAUGUACUCAUUCGGCGCCUUACG